rnacentral:rRNA from 1 species
CCUGAUCCAGCAUGCCGCGUGCAGGAGGAAGGCCUUCGGGUUGUAAACUGCUUUUGUACGGAACGAAAAGGCUCUGGUUAAUACCUGAAGCACAUGACGGUACCGUAAGAAUAAGCACCGGCUAACUACGUGCCAGCAGCCGCGGUAAUACGUAAGGGGCGAGCGUUAAUCGGAAUUACUGGUCGUAAAGCGUGCGCAGGCGGUGCUGUAAGACAGGCGUGAAAUCCCCGGACUUAACCUGGGAAUGGCGCUUGUGACUGCAAUGCUGGAGUGUGGCAAAGGGGGAUGGAAUUCCGCGUGUAGCAGUGAAAUGCGUAGAUAUGCGGAGGAACACCGAUGGCGAAGGCAAUCCCCUGGGCCUGCACUGACGCUCAUGCACGAAAGCGUGGGGAGCAAACAGGAUUAGAUACCCUGGUAGUCCACGCCCUAAACGAUGUCAACUGGUUGUUGGGUCUUUUCUGACUCAGUAACGAAGCUAACGCGUGAAGUUGACCGCCUGGGGAGUACGGCCUCAAGGUUGAAACUCAAG